UACAGAGGUCUCAAGCGUUGUUCGGAAUUACUGGGCGUAAAGCGCGUGUAGGCGGUUAUCCAAGUCGGGUGUGAAAGCCUUGAGCUCAACUCAAGAAAUGCACUCGGUACUGGGUGACUAGAGGACCGGAGAGGAUAGUGGAAUUCCCAGUGUAGUGGUGAAAUACGUAGAGAUUGGGAAGAACACCAGUGGCGAAGGCGGCUAUCUGGACGGUUUCUGACGCUAAGACGCGAAAGCGUGGGGAGCAAACAGG
rnacentral:rRNA from 1 species